CCCAAGAGCCCGAACGC
rnacentral:rRNA from 1 species